GGAGCACCGCCGAUAGGGCGCCGAAGGAGGUUAUCUAUUCUCGUUAGGGGUUGGGGGGGAGUAGAGAUAGGGACAGUUUGGGAUCGGGAUGAGGGGAAGGGGGUGAGCGCGGCGAAGGAGGAAGGGGCUCGUUUCGACGGCGGUGGCGAGUGGUAUCGGUACCGGUGGCCGGUCCGGAGCGGUUGGGCUCCACAGGUCCUCCUGGGAGUAGAAGUUGGUGCAGCGGACGCGGGGACCUAGUUCCGCCCCCUUGGUGGCUUGCAGAGGAAGCUGGAUGAGAAGAGGUGGGGCCGGUGGCGCUGGAGCAGCAGCUAGAUGGCGCGGCGCAGGAGAGGCCGGAGGGAUACGAAGAGGGGCCGUGGCGAUAGGGCUCUGACUAGGGCUACGGAGACACUAGCUGAUGCAGUGGCUGCUGUGAAGAAAGGAAAGUCGCCUCGAAGGUCUACCACCUAGGGACUUCAGUCUACGGUGGCGGCUGCCUAUGAUGAUGAACCUCCGGCAGCUGCUGGUCCUC
rnacentral:rRNA from 1 species